GCGCAGACCUGGUGAAGCCGCCUGUUUGGUAAGCCGGCUACCCAGCAGCGGAGAAACUCACCCGCGUCUCCAUGGCGACGCGUCACAGAGAGGCCGCCCGCCGGGCAAUCUAGGGCAGGAACCUUAGCGCUCGACUGCCUCUUCCAGGCAGGAUGGCUGCCGAGCCUGGGCCCAAGGCUCCGGGCCUACCUCAGUGCGACGGCAAGCUCCAGCCAACAGGUAAUACCAACUGGGAUUCAUAUGCUACAACAAUGAAGACGGCAUUCACAUAUAAAACAGGAGAAGUGCCAGCUCUAAUUCGUCAAAAAAGUAUCAAAAGAUUAGGAUAUACAUACUCACUUAGUGAUCCAAUUCUGAAUCAGACCCAAUACAAUGAUGAAUAUGUUUGGAAAUCAUAUGUUAAAGAAAAUCUGAUAAAAAAUGAGACUUCAAGACGAGUCAAGAGCUACAAAUUGCACCCCACUCAGGGAUUUCAGUGGACACUACCCAAAGGGCAUUCAAAGAUGACACCAAGAAGCUGCCUCCCUUGGAAAAUCCCUGCCUCCAUGGAAGAAAUUCAGAAGACACUCUCAGACCAGUUUAUUUCCUGUACUAUGAGAGACUUUGUGGACCCAGCCGCAGCUCAAAAGGUUAAGAAAGGUUCUCAGGUGUCCCUGGAAUGGAAAAAGUUCCUUCCCAGACCUCUAGACACUGAAUUUCGACGGAAUUACCAAAUUCCAGCUAAAAUUCCUGAGUUACAAGAUUUUAGUUUCAGAUAUGGAUGCUACUCAAGCCUGCCAAUUGCUUCUCGGGGCCUAGUUCCUUCUGUGCUGCACAGCUACAUGAGGAAUCAAGAACGCACGAAGCAACAGACCAUAUACCAAAGUGACUAUGGGAAAGCCUACCUGGACUUCUUAACCAUCCUGAACUCAUUUACUCCCUCUCAAGUCAAUGAGUACCUUCAGAGUGUUUCCUACAAAGACAGACAAAUACUUGACCACUUUAUCCGUUCUCACUGUGACAUUGACAAAGAGAAGAAAUGAAAAUAGAUUGGAUGAAGAAAACCUGAAGAUUUUUGGAAACACAAGGGCCUAUCUGUUCAUUUUGUCAACAAUCAAGUAAAAAUAAGAUGCAAAUUGCUUCAAAUGUGUUGUGAUAGUUGUGAGUUUAUAGGUUUCACUUUGUUUUAUUUUUAAACAAUAAAAUAUUUAAGACUGUGAAUAUCCCCCUGAAUGUUGCAUUAAUUGUUUCUGAUACAGCUGAUAUAAUAUUUUUCCUUUUCUCUUUUGGGUACUUGUGGUUUCUAUUUUGAUUUGUGUUUUGAACCAGGAGUUAUAUAGAAGAGAUUUCUUAAUUUGUCAAUAAUUAGAAGGUUUAAAAUAUCUUUUUAUUGUUGAUUUAUUUUUGAACAAAGUAAAGUAAAAUAAAAUCCAGUUUGAGAAGCUUAUCAGUAUUCUCCAAUGCUGUUAAUAAAAUAUAUGACUUAUUUGUGUGUCACAUGAAUAUAGGAGAAAAAAUUUAAUUUAUUUCAGAUCUUUAAUAUCUUUGCCCUAAUCAUACACUUGAACUGUCAUAUUUUGAAAUACUAUUAAGACUACCUUACCAUCAAUGUUUUUGUUAGUUUCUCCUUGAAUUUCUUGGAUAUUGGCUGCUAUAUUAUUUAUUCUAUUAAGAUUUACUUAUGUCCUCUACAGAGCUUCUUCACUGAUAAACUUUUUCCUUAUUCCAUGUUUAUGUGUGUGGUGGUUAAGCUUAAUUGUGUCAAAUCAGUUGGCUUGGGAGCCACUGAGAUUAAUAAAAGACACUUACAAGUUAUAUCUGGUUGGGUCAUGGAGGUACGACAUUGUGUACCAUAUCUGGUCCUUUGCCUCUUUUUCUCUGGCACUGUUUGCUUGCCUUGCUUCCCCACCACCGUGAAUUAAGCAUCUCUACCCUACCAUGCCUUGGAGCCAGCUGACCGUAGACUAAAUCCAGGGGAACUGUGAGCCAAAUGAAACAUCUCCUCCUUUAAGAUGUGAGUGUUGGAUAACAUGUCCCAGAUAUUGAAAGCUGACUCACACCUAUUUCUUCUUUGAUGUAGUUAAUGCUUUUGGCUUUGAAUUGCCUUUUUUGUCUUUGAAUACUGUAGCUUGAACCCAUGGCCUCAUGCACGCUAGGCAACCUCUCUAACACCAAGAUACAUUCUCAGCCCUUGAAUUUUAUUUUAAUUGAUAUUAUGGUUGCUGUUCAAGCCAGGUUUUUCCCCCCUUUGAAUUUGUUUGGUAUAAUGUUAUACCCCCUAACUUCUAGCCUUUUUUUUUUAUAACUUUGUUUCAGUGUAUUUCUAAAUAUUGUGACUGGGCUUUAUGUUAUACUUAUUAUGGUGAUCUGUCUGUUAGUAAAAUAAUUUAUUCUGCAGU
rnacentral:lncRNA from 1 species